ACGUGCAAUAGAGUUCUUUGUGAGAGUCUAGAUAAAGCUGUCUAUUAUAUGCGCUAGGUUUUAUAUUGCACUUAUAUGUAUUGUGCAACUACUCGCUUAGGUCUUUCAACAAAAUGAAGGAAGUUUUGUGCUGUCGUCACUUGACUUCUUAGACUCCGAGUCCUCCUUUGUUACAUAUGGACAAUUGCUCUGUACGGCUGCAAAUCUUGGACAAUCAAAGAAGAUAGCCGCCGACGCUUAGAUGCAUUUGAGUUGUGGUGCUAUCGACGCAUGCUUUGAUUAGGCUGGGUUCAGAAGGUUCUUAAUCAGAACACUGUCUGUAUUUUAAACUCUGGGCAUUAGAAAAUGGAGCUGAUAGCGCAGAAAAAUAAAUCAGGGCCCACGCACGCGACCUAGCACAAGAAAGGGACAAAAAAAGCUAGCAAGAAAAACGCUCGCGAGUAUAGGGCUGUCUGUGGUCUUACUUGGAAGUGCUAUGCCUGUUGGACCAAAAAUUGUUUUGAGUAGAGAGGAACGUACUUCGCACUAUUUCAAGUCAGAUACCUCGGCUUCUUCUUGUAUUAAGGAGUAAAAUGUGAUACUUAAUACUGUUAGCCUAGUGGCUUCAGCGUGCUCUAAUUCCUGAGGCUGAGUUUCGCUCAGUGUACCAAAGGACUAUCACACUCGCUGAUACAGGGAAGGUACAUCGCCAGCAAUGAGGCAUGUCUUCUUUAAAAAGAUGACGGCGUGUGUCGGGCACAUACUGCUAUGACAACAGGACUUUGUUUAUUACACUGACGGCUACGGUUCUGGCAAGGCAAGGUGCUUCGCAAGCUUUAGAAAAAGAACGAUUUUGUGAUUUAUACCAUUUGCAUCAUAUAAUUUUGAUGUGUUUUAAAUAGACUGAUAUUUUGGAGCCAACAGACGUUGUUACGACGGUAAGCUACCGAAGAAUAGGAUAUGGUGAAAUGCCACUAGUCCCGACUCACUCCUCUUAAUUGUGAAAAACAGUCUUAUCAGUGAGUAUCAAAAACAAAUAUAAAAAAACUACAAUAACCAACGCCAAACUUGACUGCGAUUGGCGGGUGCUGGCGUGCAUCACACAAGCUUGGCUUUAUAAGAAAACUUAUGAAAAGCUAUACUUUGACUCAAGUGUAUGACUAACAAAGAAGGUACAUUUCGUUUGUAAAAACAUGUAUGAACAAUGAUGUUUUGAUAUUAAACUAAACGUUGAUUACUGGAAAAAGCGUAACCAUUGUCUAGUUUGUAAACUAUGACUGGACUUGCUAGUUGCUUAGCAUAAAAUUUAUAUACAAAAUUCAACCCGUGAAAAAAUUUAGUAGGAAAAUACUGCGAAAUGGCGGGCAGAUACACUCCUGAAUACAAAUGUCUUUACUACACAACAUUCGAGAGUGGAUGGGGGUCAAUCAGUGGAACAAGUGUUCAGAUUGGUAAUGAACAAAGAGAGUGACUGCCGACAGUACUUGGGUAGGCACCUCAAGAAAAAGGAAAAUGCUGGAAUGAUAACAUAUGUCGAUAAAAGAAUUAAUCUAUGCGUUCAAAGAUUAAAGUAUAAAUCUAUAUUUCUAAUCUGGGCUAAUAAGGCUGUGUAGGGCCGUAUGCAAAGUGUAGGUAAACGUGUCGAUCUCAUUUAAUUGCAUUCGUGUUUUUAGAUUUUGUAAUUAAAUACUAGUUUUAUUCAUUUCAAUAUUCUUAUUUUCCACUAUGCUAAUUAUCUAUAUUUCAAUAACAAAAUUGUAACUUAUCUGUAGAUGCUUGAGUUGCGUUGAGUAUUUUUUAUUCCAACAUUUCUGUGUUGAAACAAAGUUCUGAUUUCAUUUUUUUCUAUAAAUUCUGAUACUGCAAAGUUUUAAUGCUAAUUGGAAUUUAAAAAUGUAAGUAAAGAUUAAGUUGUGACUUAAUUUUUCAACAAGGACUAAGUUUGUACCUGUUGUCACAAUUUUGACGGUGGAGCUUUUCUUUGCUACUAAGCCUACUUUAUUACAUCCGUUUAAUUAAAUUAUUGUCUCCUUCUUUCAAAUUUUAUAUACGCUGUAAUGAAAAGAGCUAUUAAAAAGGUACAAUAAGACUGAUUUUAUUUAUGAAUAGAUUGAUUUUUUUUAAUUGGUAACACACAUUGCUGAGAGGUUUUCCAUUGAAGAAAUGAAGAGAUUGGAAUGUAUCAAAGCUCACACUACUGAGAAAAAAAGAAUGAAUAAGCAAUCGCAAAAUAAAUUCUUUGCCCCAUUGGUAGGUUACGGGAUCCCAGGUCAAAUCCAGUUAGUAACAAUGCAAUACAAUUUUAAAUUCAUGAAGGAAACUCAUAGUUUUUAUACAUAAAUAUAGUAAAAUUAGUCCAAUAGCAUCACCAUCCCAUGACUACUAUCAAUGGCCCUAAAUUUACGUCAAAUUUGUCUUAUAGAGAAGUAAAAUCUUUUGUAUCGGACAGGGGCGGCUCACGAUAGAUUGCGAUACUUUCAAUCACUGAACGAACAAGUAUUUAUUGGAGAUAUAAGAAACUCCAAAAGAACGCACGAUAAAAAUAUUGAAAAUCGCAGACUUUAGAUCUAGGCUCGUUUUAUAAAACCUUAUAUUACAGCACUAAAAUAAUUUUAUGUUGUAAUCAUCGCAAAAUCUAAUUAUAAAAUUAAUUCUUACACACGUAGGAGUUUAUUACUGUUCUAAUUACUGUGAACCAGUACUAUAAAGUUUUAUCGUGAAAUCUUGGUUCGAUUCCCGGUGUAUUAACCAUUUUUUCUGACGACGAUGAAGUAUAUGAUGCAAAUUUGCAUUCAAAUACGCCGGGCUGUAAAGCGUAUA